rnacentral:rRNA from 1 species
CCUACGGGUGGCAGCAGUGGGGAAUAUUGGGCAAUGGGCGCAAGCCUGACCCAGCAACGCCGCGUGAAGGAAGACGGCUCUCGGGUUGUAAACUUCCUUUGUCAGGGAAGAGUAGAAGACGGUACCUGACGAAUAAGCCACGCCUAAUUACGUGCCAGCAGCCGCGGCAAUACGGAGGUGGCAAGCGUUGUCCGGAUUUACUGGGUGUAAAGGGCGUGUAGCCGGGUUGACAAGUCAGAUGUGAAAUCCUGCGGCUUAACCGCAGAACUGCAUUUGAAACUGUUUGUCUUGAGUACUGGAGAGGCAGACGGAAUUCCUAGUGUAGCGGUGAAAUGCGUAGAUAUUAGGAGGAACACCAGUGGCGAAGGCGGUCUGCUGGACAGCAACUGACGGUGAGGCGCGAAAGCGUGGGGAGCAAACAGGAUUAGAUACCCCGGUAGUC